UACGUAGGGGGCAAGCGUUGUCCGGAAUUAUUGGGCGUAAAGAGCUCGUAGGUGGCUUGUCACGUCGGGUGUGAAAGCUUGGGGCUUAACUCCAGGUCUGCAUUCGAUACGGGCUGGCUAGAGGUAGGUAGGGGAGAACGGAAUUCCUGGUGUAGCGGUGAAAUGCGCAGAUAUCAGGAGGAACACCGGUGGCGAAGGCGGUUCUCUGGGCCUUACCUGACGCUGAGGAGCGAAAGCGUGGGGAGCGAACAGG
rnacentral:rRNA from 1 species